rnacentral:tRNA from 1 species
GCCUCGGUGGUGUAGCGGCCUAAUGGAAAGGCUAAGCAUACGAGCCUGUCACGCUCGCGACACGGGUUCAAAUCCCGUCCGAGGCG